CAGCNAUGCCGCGAUGAGUGAAGAAGGCCUUCGGGUUGUAAAGCUCUUUUGUCAGGGAAGAAACGGUAAGGGCUAAUAUCUCUUGCUAAUGACGGUACCUGAAGAAUAAGCACCGGCUAACUACGUGCCAGCAGCCGCGGUAAUACGUAGGGUGCAAGCGUUAAUCGGAAUUACUGGGCGUAAAGCGUGCGCAGGCGGUUUUGUAAGUCUGUCGUGAAGGCCCCGGGCUCAACCUGGGAAUUGCGAUGGAGACUGCAAGGCUUGAAUCUGGCAGAGGGGGGUAGAAUUCCACGUGUAGCAGUGAAAUGCGUAGAGAUGUGGAGGAACACCGAUGGCGAAGGCAGCCCCCUGGGUCAAGAUUGACGCUCAUGCACGAAAGCGUGGGGAGCAAACAGGAUUAGAUACCCUGGUAGUCCACGCCCUAAACGAUGUCUACUAGUUGUCGGGUUUUAAUUAACUUGGUAACGCAGCUAACGCGUGAAGUAGACCGCCUGGGGAGUACGGUCGCAAGAUUA
rnacentral:rRNA from 1 species